CAUGUCCUUUUGAUAAUAAUUUAAGGUCUAAUCUGCCCACUGAAAAUUAAAUGGCCGCAGUAAAUUGACUGUGCUAAGGUAGCAUAAUAAUUAGUUUUUUAAUUGAAAGCUGGUAUGAAUGAUUUAAUGAGAUAUAAGCUGUCUCUUUUAAAUUUUUAAAAAAUUUUAUUUUUAAGUUAAAAAGCUUAAAUAAUAUUAAAAGACGAGAAGACCCUAUAGAGUUUAAAUUAAUUAUAUAAAUUUUAUUUUUUUUUUAUUAAUAAUAAUUUUAGGUAUUUAAUUUUAAUUGGGGCGAUUAAAAAAUUUAAUUAACUUUUUAAUUUUUAAACAUUUAUUUAUGAAUAAUUGAUCCAUUAUUAAUGAUUAAAAGAUUAAAUUACCUUAGGGAUAACAGCGUAAUUAUUUUUAAGAGUUCUAAUCGAAAAAAUAGAUUGCGACCUCGAUGUUGGAUUAAAGUUAAGUUUUGGAGCAGAAGCUAAAAUUUUAAGUCUGUUCGACUUUUAAUACUUUACAUGAUCUGAGU
rnacentral:rRNA from 1 species